rnacentral:lncRNA from 1 species
GAGUUCGUGGCCCUGUUGUACUCCAGCCCCAGAGCCAGCGUUGCAAACUCAGCGGGAGGCAGUGCACUGAGAGGAUCCUAAAGGCCACGAGACGCCUGGCACAUCCCAGGAUGCGGCUCAGAGCUAUCUUUCUGUCAAUCUCACUUGCUUUUCUCGCUUUUAGAGGUCCCGAACCACAAGCAAGUGUGGGAUACAUCCCCUCUGCUUCAAGUGGCAGGGACCCCUCGCGGUCACUUCAGAAGAACAGCCAGAGAAGGCCAGGGCCCAGGGCAGAAGCAGGGCAGAUGCAGGCCAGACCAGGGCGCGCUGUCCGGCAGACAGCCAGCUUGGUUUUCCGCAAGCAUCAAGAGACAAGGAAAUCUUGGUAGAAGGUGAAACCGAGGAGAUAAAGGUUGGGAAAAAUGGAGAACCCACGAAGAAGCGAAGACCAGCAACAGUACCUCCCAUGCCCACUCAUGCAGCUAACAGACAUGUUCACAGAUGCACAUAUAUACACAAGCUUGAAUGCAUAGUCAUGCAGUUAACUUAGUCUUACAGUAACACACAUGCAUGUUCUUCAAAUACCCCAUGCAUUGUUAGCCCUUUUGCACACAUGGAAACAGGUGGGCAGUAGCUGUGUCUGCUUAGUUGCUAUUUCAGAUUUCAUUUUUUUCCUCUCUCCCAGGAAUCAUGUGAUUUGUACAUUUCUAUUCAAGUUUUAUGGAUGAGGAAACCUGUCUGCUAUGAAAUAAAUGAUCAAACUGAUCAUUUGCAAAAUGA